GGAGAGAUGGCAGAGCGGUUGAAUGCACUGGUCUUGAAAACCAGCAUGGGUUAAUAGCCCAUCCAGGGUUCGAAUCCCUGUCUCUCCGCCA
rnacentral:tRNA from 1 species